rnacentral:rRNA from 1 species
AGUGAACGCUGGCGGCGUGCUUAACACCUGCAAGUCGAACGGAGCACCCUUGAUUGAGGUUUCGGCCAAAUGAUAGGAAUGCUUAGUGGCGGACUGGUGAGUAACGCGUGAGGAACCUGCCUUUCAGAGGGGGACAACAGUUGGAAACGACUGCUAAUACCGCAUGACGCAUUUUGAUCGCAUGGUCGAAAUGCCAAAGAUUUAUCGCUGAAAGAUGGCCUCGCGUCUGAUUAGCUAGUUGGUGAGGUAACGGCCCACCAAGGCGACGAUCAGUAGCCGGACUGAGAGGUUGACCGGCCACAUUGGGACUGAGAUACGGCCCAGACUCCUACGGGAGGCAGCAGUGGGGAAUAUUGGGCAGUGGGCGCAAGCCUGACCCAGCAACGCUGCGUGAAGGAAGAAGGCUUUCGGGUUGUAAACUUCUUUUAAGUGGGAAGAGCAGAAGACGGUACCACUUGAAUAAGCCACGGCUAACUACGUGCCAGCCGCCGCAGUAA